ACUGAACGCUGGCGGCAUGCUUUACACAUGCAAGUCGAACGGUAACAGGCCGCAAGGUGCUGACGAGUGGCGAACGGGUGAGUAAUGCAUCGGAACGUGCCCAAUCGUGGGGGAUAACGCAGCGAAAGCUGUGCUAAUACCGCAUACGAUCUGUGGAUGAAAGCGGGGGACUCGCAAGGGCCUCGCGCGAUUGGAGCGGCCGAUGUCAGAUUAGGUAGUUGGUGAGGUAAAGGCUCACCAAGCCAACGAUCUGUAGCUGGUCUGAGAGGACGACCAGCCACACUGGGACUGAGACACGGCCCAGACUCCUACGGGAGGCAGCAGUGGGGAAUUUUGGACAAUGGGGGCAACCCUGAUCCAGCAAUGCCGCGUGCAGGAAGAAGGCCUUCGGGUUGUAAACUGCUUUUGUACGGAACGAAACGGUCUGGGUUAAUACCCUGGGCUAAUGACGGUACCGUAAGAAUAAGCACCGGCUAACUACGUGCCAGCAGCCGCCGUAA
rnacentral:rRNA from 1 species